rnacentral:rRNA from 1 species
AGAGCGAACGCUGGCGGCAGGCCUAACACAUGCAAGUCGAGCGCCCGUAGCAAUACGGGAGCGGCAGACGGGAUAGUAACACGUGGGAACGCGCCCUUCGGUUCGGAAUAACUCAGGGAAACUUGAGCUAAUACCGAAUACGCCCUUACGGGGAAAGAUUUAUUGCCGAAGGAACGGCCCGCGUCCGAUUAGCUAGUUGGUGAGGUAAUGGCUCACCAAGGCUACGAUCGGUAGCUGGUCUGAGAGGAUGAUCAGCCACAUUGGGACUGAGACACGGCCCAAACUCCUACGGGAGGCAGCAGUGGGGAAUAUUGCACAAUGGGCGCAAGCCUGAUGCAGCAACGCCGCGUGAGGGACGACGGCCUUCGGGUUGUAAACCGUCUUUUAGUAGGGAAGAAGCGAAAGUGACGGUACCUGCAGAAAAGCACCGGCUAACUACGUGCCAGCAGCCGC